rnacentral:rRNA from 1 species
CCCCAGACUCCUACGGGAGGCAGCAGUGGGGAAUAUUGCACAAUGGGGGGAACCCUGAUGCAGCAAUGCCGCGUGAAGGAUGAAGGUUUUCGGAUUGUAAACUUCUUUUGUACGGGACGAAGAAAGUGACGGUACCGUAAGAAUAAGCCACGGCUAAAUACGUGCCAGCAGCCGCGGUAAUACGUAUGGUGCGAGCGUUGUCCGGAUUUACUGGGCGUGAAGGGGGCGCAGGCGGCGCGCCAAGCCCGAUGUGAAAGCCCGGGGCUCAACCCCGGGACUGCAUUGGGAACUGGCGUGCUGGAGUGCCGGAGGGGCAGGCGGAAUUCCUGGUGUAGCGGUGAAAUGCGUAGAUAUCAGGAGGAACACCGGUGGCGAAGGCGGCCUGCUGGACGGAUACUGACGCUGAGGCCCGAAAGCGUGGGGAGCGAACAGGAUUAGAUACCCGCGUAC